GAGGGAGAGGCGGAAGAGGGAAACAGCUCUAUCCCUCAUCAUCGCAUCAGCGAGGGUGUCGUGGAAAACCCUCCCAGGUACUCGUGCGUGUGAAGCCGUUGGAGUGGCAUACUUGUCCUUCUCAUUUUUUCUGCGUGGUCUUUGUCAUUCUCUGUUGCUCAGACACGUCUUUACGGCACGCUCUCUCGAAUAGAAUCUUCGACGUGUGCCUCUGUUCACUCGUUGCUUCGGAGUUUUGAGUAGGUGUGUGCGGGGUGGGGGUGCGGGCGGUCAUGAGCUACAGCUCCGCUGCGGCGGAGUCGCCGCAGGAUUACGGGCAGCCGAGCAGGGACAACGCCAUCCCUUCUGAGACGGCCUCUCCGCCGGCCUCCGCUAACGGCUCAAAAGGCCCGCUUACCCAGCCCGUUUUGGGGCAGAGUGGCGCGGCACCAACAGCCCCGUCGUCCGAUAACGCCGAGACAGAUGCCGAGCAGCUAAAGCAGCAGCUUAAGCUCAUUCAGCUAUGCUUUGCCGAGCACGAGUUCGGCAUCAUCGUGGACGAGAACAACCCCACCGACAGUCGCUCAAGUUCGUCGCCCAGUGACGCCUCCUCGCUUUCUUCCUCAUUUGACUCAGUGAAUGGCCACGACGUCGCGCAACGACGGCGCGGCCCGCGUGGGCUUCCCGCCUACGAUCCGCUGGCUUUUGUGAAGGGCAAGGUGCAGCAUGGCGUGCCGCUCGCCUCGCUGUCGCAAGACCUGCACGCCUAUGCCGAAUACCUGGAGGAAAAGAUUGCGCAGUGCGUGAACACCGACGUCCACACGGCGUUUGUGAACGUCUCAGGCCACCUCGUGGGGAUGCGCGACGAGCUCUCCUACAUGGAGCGUCCCCUCACCGCAGCGAUGGAGAAGCUGUCUUCCGUCGUUGGCCAGCUGUCGAUGACUUCGCUGAAGGUGAAGGGCAAGGUGAAAGCGGCGUGUGAUGCGGAGAUGGAGCGCGCCUUCGAUGCGAUGUACCUAAAGUGCAUGGUUGUGUACGAGACGGUCGCGUACCAGCUGGACGACCUAGCUGAACUGCUACACAUCACGGUGAUUUCUGCGGCAACGACGGCGCGCAGCGCGGCCACUGGCACCGGCACGAGUGCGGCUAGUGCAUCAAUGUUCCCGCUCACGAUGGCAUCGCGCGACGACAGUGACAAGAGCGGCGCCGCACCCGGAAAGAUGUCCCUCUCGAUUGCGUCCGAUACCCUUCUUUCCGACGCCGCACUGGAUGUACUCGAGGACGCGGUGCUGCUCUUCCAGGAACUGAAGGAAACCUACCAGCGCCUCGGCUCGUUGCCGUCGCGCCAGCAGGAAAAGAUGGAGUUGAUGGCAUACGUAGCCGCUGCCGAGCAGUCCGUAAUGGGUGCGCUGGAGCUGGUCCUGGUUCACACCAGCCAACUCGUCUUCCGCCCCACCUCAGAGAACAGCGGUGCUGCUUCGACGUCGUCUCCAUGUGCGGUGGCGGGCAAUGAAUCCGCCACCUCCGCGCGUAUGACGGUCGGCUCGCCUGUCGCUCAGCAGCUUCUCGGCCGCAUCAUUGAGCUCUACGCCCAGGCAGGAGAGGUGAAGCAGUUGGCCGCGGUGUUCCGCAACGCCGUGCUGCGUCCGCCGCUGGAGGCGGUGGUUACGUGGAAAGCGGCAACACAGGCUCGGCAAAGCGUCGAGGGCACGGUGGCGCUUCUGAAGCAGGUGAAAGCAGUAGUACAGACUACUUUCUUGCCACUGUUACCGCUGCUGCGCGAGCACUACGGCACCGCCUUGCACCCAACGGCGACGAUCGUGUGGCCCAUCUUAAGCGAGACGCUGGUGAAGAAGCUGCCGUCGCUGUACGAGGUCGGCAUCCCGAAUCACUUCCAGGUGAAGUACAAGGCGGCCUACGAGCUGCUCGCGAUCGUUGAGAGCUCCUGCGCGGACCUGGAGGAGCUGGCAGCUCUGCGUCGAUCACCGGAUGUCGUCCUGUGGAACCAUAAGUGGAAUAUCAACGUCUACGCUGCACUGCGCGUGAGUGAGGUGGACAAGGCGGUGCAGUCCGUCACAUCCCCACUUGAUCGCCUCCCAGCGGCGACGAACAGCCAAUACCAACUCCGCGUCUUCUACAUUGCACAUCAACAGCUGCUGCACCUCUUCUCAUCCUCCGUGUUUUCGCUGCUGUGCACGCCGUGGUUUCUACGACAGACUGUCGUGUGCUGCUACCGGGUCCUGACGCGGGUGCAGGAGGCUGUAGCCGCGGCGACGCCGGCUCCGAGCGGCGGGGCGUCAGCUGAGGAUAGACAGACGAGCACAACAGCGUCGGAAAACGGCAGCACGCCUGCCGCGGGGGCCCACGGCACGCUGCUGGUAGCGAUCGCUGACGCGCACACGCUGAGCAGCUUUCUGACGGGACAGCUGCGGCAUGUCAUUCUCGGGCGACUGGCAGCUGAGUCAGGCCAGGAGUUGGCUGCAAUGGCCUCCGUGACUGCCACGACCGCCACUACACCUGCGCCCGAGCGCAGCACGGCGGACCUUGUCACGGAAGUGCUGCAGUUUGCCAGCGCGUCCGUGUGCGGCCAGUUCGUGCAGCGGGCGAGGGCAACACUUGUGCAUCAGAUCACCGACGCUGCGGUAGUGCCACUGCAAAAUAUCAAGUCCGUGCGCUCAGCAUACUCCCACACGCGCAAGACGAUGCCGUCCGCCGCCUCCUGGUACGUUGCUUCUGCGCUACAGCCACUGCAAAAGUUCGCCGAGGAUGCGCAGCGCAGCGGAUUUACUGGGGCUGCGCUUCAGGACAGCGUGGCGGAUAUGUUGCGGACAGUCAUGUCGCACUUUGUGGCGCUGGCCAGAGAAACGCUACUCACGGCCAAGAAGACGGAGGAGAGCUGGGAGAAGCUGCGCCGUCGCAAGGAGGGGGCUUCGGUGUUGCAGACGACGGAGGUUACUCCUGACAACAGCGAGGAGGUCAGCGGGGGCGCCGUAUCGACGGUUGGUGGGCAGCGCGUCACCAUGGAGACAGCGACGGACCGUGACAAAAUGACGAUUCAGCUGUGGAUGGAUGCCCGCGCUAUGCUGGAGGUGGUGCAGCUGCCUCCGCUCAGCUUGCCCUCGGUGAUGGCCGCCGAGUUGUUUCAGCCGGCGUUUGACCUACUGCGCCGCGCCGAGUGGAUUCAAGGGGCCGACAUCCCUGAACCGCCGGAUGUCGAUGCGUGACGCGCCAACGCCGCACGUAAUUGAAUGACACACGAGUGUCGGGGGAGUGGGUGAGCUAGUUGCGCUGCAAGUGUGGACAGGCGACGGAGACUUGGGGCCUUUUCCCCUCCCCGUUUUCGUUCUCUCCAUCGUGCGGCGUCAAGCGUGUGUUUCGUUGUUGUUUUUCGAGCUGAGUGGGCUUUUCGUUUCGUUUUUAGUUCGCUCUUUGGCUGCGCCUUCGUCACCUCUCCUUCACCUUCGUGGUUCCUCCGCUUCACUCGUCGAGGAGGCGCCUGCGCGCAGGUAGUGGGACGAUCCUGCCAUUCCGGGCACGCGUGCGAGUCAGAAGCGGCGAUUGGCCGAC
rnacentral:misc_RNA from 1 species